UUUAACACAGACACAAUGCAUAAAGAGUUUAUCAGCUGGAAAAAGGUGAACCCUGUGUAGUUCAGUUAACAUAUAUUAAGUCCAAGCCUGGUGAGGAAGUAGAAGAGGAAUUCACUUUAUCACAAUCCAAAAAUUCACAAGAUGGGGGAAAUCAGUCAUUGCUUGUUUAUUUCUUCAUGCCAGUUGUGGCUGGGAGACUCCUCGGUGCAACAUAACCAUUAUACCACCAAGCUGAACAGAAUUUGUAUGUCUACCAUCUCCUUCAAUAAUUUCCCUUAAGACUGGGACUACAUACAAGCUUCAUAGCUUUAAGUCAAUAUUUUUCCCUCACUUCUCUUCAUCUCUCACUGCAAAUGAAAUUGUUUGCUAUCUUGCCUAAUGAAGAUUUUGGGAGAAUUUGAAAAUUUGCAUACUUAUUUUGUAAGCAGUGAAUGGGACAAAAAUAUUGCCUUAACAUGGUUUUUCAAAUAAAAUACUUUAAAAA